AGGUGUAUCAAGAAGCAGGGGAGCAAAGAGGAAACGACCAGGUGAUAAUAAGCAGGCUGAGAAUUGGGCGUAGCAAUCUGAACAGCACACUUUUAAUUACAGGAAAACACCCUACAGGAAUGUGUGAACAAUGUCAGGAGGCUGUGGGGAUUUUUAAUAAACGUCGGUCGUUCAAGAACUGCCCCAUAGUAGUUCACACGGUCGUUCAGAGAGGAAACUGACUGAGGGAAUACGUUUUUCAGCUUUCCGGGUCGCGUUGGUUGCCGCAAUCAGAAGGAUAAACUUUACUUUUCACAACAUCUCUGCAUCAACGAGAGUGUGUUCGCUGCAUUUUUCCCGUCAGAACUCAUCUGUCAACCCCUGCUGGAUUGGGUUUGUGGAUCAAGUCUGCCGGACAGAAGCGGACAACAAGUUCAAGAAAUGCUUAAGAGAGGAGAGAUGUUAUCAACCAAGGUACCGCACCUCAUACCCCAAAGGGAAGAGGACCAGCAGCAGGAGGAUCAACGCUACCCUUCACUGACAUCAAGAACAGAAAUUAUGUCAUUAAAAGACAAUUUCAUGACGCUAAUAACUUGUCGUUAUAAAAAGCAACUUUUUAAGCAAAUAAUGACAUUAUUUUCAAAUGUAAACAAUGAAUUGGUUAUUAGACAUCGAGACAUGGAGUUUUGGAGCAAAACAAUGACCACAAUAAACAUAAAGGGGGACAAACAAUUUGCAUAUGCUGUUGUUGAAAUGAAAAAUGGUACAUCUAACCUUUUUCAUGCAGUUUGUCCAUAUUAUCGAGACAAGAAGAGCAAAAAUUCUGCUUCUCCUUCCACUGAAGUUACAUCACACAGUGAGGAAAUUUUAAUGAGACAAAUUGAUGAAUUUCUACCAAACAAUGGAACAAAUGUUCAGACUAUUUUAAUUUAUACUCUCAACAGUCCAUGUUUAAAGAGAAAAAAAGAUAUUGAGCCAUGUAUGUUUAAACUUUUAGAGAUGGCUGAUCAGUGGCUCAGUAAAUAUGGAUUUUUUACUUAUGUGGCAUUCACUAAGGUUUGGGGACUAAAGGGUCCAAAUUAUUUUGUAGAUCUCAAGUACUCUGACAUCUCAAGUCCCAGCAGCUGUUUUUAUCCCUAUGUUGAAACAUACAAGGAAAUUCCUUUUAAA